GAUGAACGCUGGCGGCGUGCCUAAUACAUGCAAGUCGAGCGAACAGACGAGGAGCUUGCUCCUCUGACGUUAGCGGCGGACGGGUGAGUAACACGUGGAUAACCUACCUAUAAGACUGGGAUAACUUCGGGAAACCGGAGCUAAUACCGGAUAAUAUAUUGAACCGCAUGGUUCAAUAGUGAAAGACGGUUUUGCUGUCACUUAUAGAUGGAUCCGCGCCGCAUUAGCUAGUUGGUAAGGUAACGGCUUACCAAGGCAACGAUGCGUAGCCGACCUGAGAGGGUGAUCGGCCACACUGGAACUGAGACACGGUCCAGACUCUUACGGGAGGCAGCAGUAGGGAAUCUUCCGCAAUGGGCGAAAGCCUGACGGAGCAACACCGCGUGAGUGAUGAAGGUCUUCGGAUCGUAAAACUCUGUUAUUAGGGAAGAACAAAUGUGUAAGUAACUAUGCACGUCUUGACGGUACCUAAUCAGAAAGCCACGGCUAACUACGUG
rnacentral:rRNA from 1 species